GGUUCUGAGCGCGCCGUCCGCGCCCACCUGACGGCUGCUCGCUACGUUUUGUCAGCC
rnacentral:sRNA from 1 species